rnacentral:rRNA from 1 species
ACGCUCGACACCUACGGGGGGCAGCAGUGGGGAAUAUUGCACAAUGGGGGGAAACCCUGAUGCAGCGACGCCGCGUGGAGGAAGAAGGUCUUCGGAUUGUAAACUCCUGUUGUUGGGGAAAAAGAGGAUGGUACCCAACAAGGAAGUGACGGCUAACUACGUGCCGCAGCCGCGGUAAUCUGAGCGGGCGUGGCAAGGC